GCAUUGGUGGUUAGAGAUAGAACUCUUGCCUUUUAUGCAGGAGCCCUAGGUUCAAUUCCUGAUCAAUGCA
rnacentral:tRNA from 1 species